AUGUAGCAAUACAGGGUGAUGGACUGCCUUUUGCAUAAUGAGCCUGCGAGUUGUGGUGUCUGGCAAGGUUAAGCAAACGCGAAGCCGUAGCGAAAGCGAGUCUGAAUAGGGCGCUUAGUCAGAUGCUGCAGACCCGAAACGAAGUGAUCUAUCCAUGAGCAAGUUGAAGCUAGUGUAAGAACUAGUGGAGGACUGAACCCAUAGGCGUUGAAAAGCCCCGGGAUGACUUGUGGAUAGGGGUGAAAGGCCAAUCAAACUUCGUGAUAGCUGGUUCUCUCCGAAAUAUAUUUAGGUAUAGCGUUGUGUCGUAAUAUAAGGGGGUAGAGCACUGAAUGGGCUAGGGCAUACACCAAUGUACCAAACCCUAUCAAACUCCGAAUACCUUAUAUGUAAUCACAGCAGUCAGGCGGCGAGUGAUAAAAUCCGUCGUCAAGAGGGAAACAACCCAGACUACCAGCUAAGGUCCCUAAAUCUUACUUAAGUGGAAAACGAUGUGAAGUUACUUAAACAACCAGGAGGUUGGCUUAGAAGCAGCCAUCCUUUAAAGAAAGCGUAAUAGCUCACUGGUCUAGUGAUUUUGCGCGGAAAAUAUAACGGGGCUAAAGUAAGUACCGAAGCUGUAGACUUAGUUUACUAAGUGGUAGGAGAGCGUUCUAUUUGCGUCGAAGGUAUACCGGUAAGGAGUGCUGGAGCGAAUAGAAGUGAGCAUGCAGGCAUGAGUAGCGAUAAUUAAUGUGAGAAUCAUUAACGCCGUAAACCCAAGGUUUCCUACGCGAUGCUCGUCAUCGUAGGGUUAGUCGGGUCCUAAGUCGAGUCCGAAAGGGGUAGACGAUGGCAAAUUGGUUAAUAUUCCAAUACCAACAUUAGUGUGCGAUGGAAGGACGCUUAGGGCUAAGGGGGCUAGCGGAUGGAAGUGCUAGUCUAAGGUCGUAGGAGGUUAUACAGGCAAAUCCGUAUAACAAUACUCCGAGAACUGAAAGGCUUUUUGAAGUCUUCGGAUGGAUAGAAGAACCCCUGAUGCCGUCGAGCCAAGAAAAGUUUCUAAGUUUAGCUAAUGUUGCCCGUACCGUAAACCGACACAGGUGGGUGGGAUGAGUAUUCUAAGGCGCGUGGAAGAACUCUCUUUAAGGAACUCUGCAAAAUAGCACCGUAUCUUCGGUAUAAGGUGUGGUUAGCUUUGUAUUAGGAUUUACUCCGAAAGCAAGGAAACUUACAACAAAGAGUCCCUCCCGACUGUUUACCAAAAACACAGCACUCUGCUAACUCGUAAGAGGAUGUAUAGGGUGUGACGCCUGCCCGGUGCUCGAAGGUUAAUUGAUGGGGUUAGCAUUAGCGAAGCUCUUGAUCGAAGCCCGAGUAAACGGCGGCCGUAACUAUAACGGUCCUAAGGUAGCGAAAUUCCUUGUCGGUUAAAUACCGACCUGCAUGAAUGGCGUAACGAGAUGGGAGCUGUCUCAAAGAGGGAUCCAGUGAAAUUGUAGUGGAGGUGAAAAUUCCUCCUACCCGCGGCAAGACGGAAAGACCCCGUGGACCUUUACUACAGCUUGACACUGCUACUUGGAUAAGAAUGUGCAGGAUAGGUGGGAGGCUUUGAGUAUAUGACGCCAGUUGUAUAUGAGCCAUUGUUGAGAUACCACUCUUUCUUAUUUGGGUAGCUAACCAGCUUGAGUUAUCCUCAAGUGGGACAAUGUCUGGUGGGUAGUUUGACUGGGGCGGUCGCCUCCCAAAUAAUAACGGAGGCUUACAAAGGUUGGCUCAGAACGGUUGGAAAUCGUUCGUAGAGUAUAAAGGUAUAAGCCAGCUUAACUGCAAGACAUACAAGUCAAGCAGAGACGAAAGUCGGUCUUAGUGAUCCGGUGGUUCUGUGUGGAAGGGCCAUCGCUCAAAGGAUAAAAGGUACCCCGGGGAUAACAGGCUGAUCUCCCCCAAGAGCUCACAUCGACGGGGAGGUUUGGCACCUCGAUGUCGGCUCAUCGCAUCCUGGGGCUGGAGCAGGUCCCAAGGGUAUGGCUGUUCGCCAUUUAAAGCGGUACGCGAGCUGGGUUCAGAACGUCGUGAGACAGUUCGGUCCCUAUCUGCCGUGGGCGUAAGAAGAUUGAAGAGAUUUGACCCUAGUACGAGAGGACCGGGUUGAACAAACCACUGGUGUAGCUGUUGUUCUGCCAAGAGCAUCGCAGCGUAGCUAAGUUUGGAAAGGAUAAACGCUGAAAGCAUCUAAGCGUGAAGCCAACUCUAAGAUGAAUCUUCUCUAAGCUCUCUAGAAGACUACUAGUUUGAUAGGCUGGGUGUGUAAUGGAUGAAAGUCCUUUAGCUGACCAGUACUAAUAGAGCGUUUGGCUUAUCUUU
rnacentral:rRNA from 1 species